UGGGGAAUUUUGGACAAUGGGCGAAAGCCUGAUCCAGCAAUGCCGCGUGUGUGAAGAAGGCCUUCGGGUUGUAAAGCACUUUUGUCCGGAAAGAAAUCCUUGGCUCUAAUACAGUCGGGGGAUGACGGUACCGGAAGAAUAAGCACCGGCUAACUACGUGCCAGCAGCCGCGGUAAUACGUAGGGUGCAAGCGUUAAUCGGAAUUACUGGGCGUAAAGCGUGCGCAGGCGGUUUGCUAAGACCGAUGUGAAAUCCCCGGGCUCAACCUGGGAACUGCAUUGGUGACUGGCAGGCUAGAGUAUGGCAGAGGGGGGUAGAAUUCCACGUGUAGCAGUGAAAUGCGUAGAGAUGUGGAGGAAUACCGAUGGCGAAGGCAGCCCCCUGGGCCAAUACUGACGCUCAUGCACGAAAAGCGUGGGGAGCAAACAGGAUUAGAUACCCUGGUAGUCCACGCCCUAAACGAUGUC
rnacentral:rRNA from 1 species